rnacentral:lncRNA from 1 species
UGUGGCGAAACCGGCCUCGCCACGUGUCCUUGGAGGGGGCUGCUUGCCCGCCUCUUGCCUUUGGACUAUGGACCAGACUUUAUGUGAAUGUGUUAACCCAGAUAGCUAUGCCAUGGAGCCCAUUCGUGUAGUUAAAGACUUCGGCUCCAUGGCAAUUGAACUGUGUGAAUAGGAUCUGAGCGCUAUUCAGUAGUUUUGUACACUCAGAUCCCAGCUAUCUGGGGAUAUGUGAAAUGUCUGUGUGUUAUGUGUAAAAAGUGACUUUAUGUAUUUUAAAGUGUUUUGUGUCUUUUUGCAACCAUGUGCUUAAUGGAGUCUUGUGUCUGUCCUGGG